UGUGAACUCGAAGAGUAGGGCGGGACACGUGGUAUCCUGUCUGAAUAUGGGGGGACCAUCCUCCAAGGCUAAAUACUCCUGACUGACCGAUAGUGAACCAGUACCGUGAGGGAAAGGCGAAAAGAACCCCGGCGAGGGGAGUGAAAAAGAACCUGAAACCGUGUACGUACAAGCAGUGGGAGCACCUUCGGGUGUGACUGCGUACCUUUUGUAUAAUGGGUCAGCGACUUAUAUUCUGUAGCAAGGUUAACCGUAUAGGGGAGCCGCAGGGAAACCGAGUCUUAACUGGGCGUUAAGUUGCAGGGUAUAGACCCGAAACCCGGUGAUCUAGCCAUGGGCAGGUUGAAGGUUGGGUAACACUAACUGGAGGACCGAACCGACUAAUGUUGAAAAAUUAGCGGAUGACUUGUGGCUGGGGGUGAAAGGCCAAUCAAACCGGGAGAUAGCUGGUUCUCCCCGAAAGCUAUUUAGGUAGCGCCUCGUGAAUUCAUCUUCGGGGGUAGAGCACUGUUUCGGCUAGGGGGUCAUCCCGACUUACCAACCCGAUGCAAACUACGAAUACCGAAGAAUGUUAUCACGGGAGACACACGGCGGGUGCUAACGUCCGUCGUGAAGAGGGAAACAACCCAGACCGCCAGCUAAGGUCCCAAAGUCAUGGUUAAGUGGGAAACGAUGUGGGAAGGCACAGACAGCCAGGAUGUUGGCUUAGAAGCAGCCAUCAUUUAAAGAAAGCGUAAUAGCUCACUGGUCGAGUCGGCCUGCGCGGAAGAUGUAACGGGGCUAAACCAUGCACCGAAGCUGCGGCAGCGACACUAUGUGUUGUUGGGUAGGGGAGCGUUCUGUAAGCCUGCGAAGGUGACCUGUGAGGGUUGCUGGAGGUAUCAGAAGUGCGAAUGCUGACAUAAGUAACGAUAAAGCGGGUGAAAAGCCCGCUCGCCGGAAGACCAAGGGUUCCUGUCCAACGUUAAUCGGGGCAGGGUGAGUCGACCCCUAAGGCGAGGCCGAAAGGCGUAGUCGAUGGGAAACAGGUUAAUAUUCCUGUACUUGGUGUUACUGCGAAGGGGGGACGGAGAAGGCUAUGUUAGCCGGGCGACGGUUGUCCCGGUUUAAGCAUGUAGGCUGGUUGUCCAGGCAAAUCCGGAUAAUCAAGGCUGAGGUGUGAUGACGAGGCACUACGGUGCUGAAGUAACAAAUGCCCUGCUUCCAGGAAAAGCCUCUAAGCAUCAGGUAACAUCAAAUCGUACCCCAAACCGACACAGGUGGUCAGGUAGAGAAUACCAAGGCGCUUGAGAGAACUCGGGUGAAGGAACUAGGCAAAAUGGUGCCGUAACUUCGGGAGAAGGCACGCUGGUGUGUAGGUGAAGUCCCUGCGGAUGGAGCUGAGACCAGUCGAAGAUACCAGCUGGCUGCAACUGUUUAUUAAAAACACAGCACUGUGCAAACACGAAAGUGGACGUAUACGGUGUGACGCCUGCCCGGUGCCGGAAGGUUAAUUGAUGGGGUUAUCCGUAAGGAGAAGCUCUUGAUCGAAGCCCCGGUAAACGGCGGCCGUAACUAUAACGGUCCUAAGGUAGCGAAAUUCCUUGUCGGGUAAGUUCCGACCUGCACGAAUGGCGUAAUGAUGGCCAGGCUGUCUCCACCCGAGACUCAGUGAAAUUGAACUCGCUGUGAAGAUGCAGUGUACCCGCGGCAAGACGGAAAGACCCCGUGAACCUUUACUAUAGCUUGACACUGAACAUUGAGCCUUGAUGUGUAGGAUAGGUGGGAGGCUUUGAAGCGUGGACGCCAGUCUGCGUGGAGCCAACCUUGAAAUACCACCCUUUAAUGUUUGAUGUUCUAACGUUGGCCCCUUAUCGGGGUUGCGGACAGUGUCUGGUGGGUAGUUUGACUGGGGCGGUCUCCUCCCAAAGCGUAACGGAGGAGCACGAAGGUUAGCUAAUCCUGGUCGGACAUCAGGAGGUUAGUGCAAUGGCAUAAGCUAGCUUGACUGCGAGCGUGACGGCGCGAGCAGGUGCGAAAGCAGGUCAUAGUGAUCCGGUGGUUCUGAAUGGAAGGGCCAUCGCUCAACGGAUAAAAGGUACUCCGGGGAUAACAGGCUGAUACCGCCCAAGAGUUCAUAUCGACGGCGGUGUUUGGCACCUCGAUGUCGGCUCAUCACAUCCUGGGGCUGAAGUAGGUCCCAAGGGUAUGGCUGUUCGCCAUUUAAAGUGGUACGCGAGCUGGGUUUAGAACGUCGUGAGACAGUUCGGUCCCUAUCUGCCGUGGGCGCUGGAGAAUUGAGGGGGGCUGCUCCUAGUACGAGAGGACCGGAGUGGACGCAUCACUGGUGUUCGGGUUGUCAUGCCAAUGGCACUGCCCGGUAGCUAAAUGCGGAAGAGAUAAGUGCUGAAAGCAUCUAAGCACGAAACUUGCCCCGAGAUGAGUUCUCCCUGAGACUUUAAGUCUCCUGAAGGAACGUUAAAGACGAUGACGUUGAUAGGCCGGGUGUGUAAGCGCAGCGAUGCGUUGAGCUAACCGGUACUAAUGAACCGUGAGGCUUAACCUU
rnacentral:rRNA from 1 species